UCUGUGCAAAAAGCGAAACGAUUUUGCCGUGAGGAAAAACAGCAAAGCGGGUGAACCAGGUGAACCAUGAUGGAUCAGCACAUGGGGAAAGGGGAGCCUGGGAUGGCAUCUGGAGUGCUCUGCGAUUACUUUCGACAUUCAAGUGGUCCGACCUGCAGCUGAAUACCACCAAGGAGUAUGCUGCAGUUGAGAAGAUGGAAAGCUGCACGUGAGCCUUGGAGAGGAAUACAAAAUAAGCAAAUAAAAUUCUUAAACAACUUGUCGAGCUUGGUCAUGGUGGUUUGGACACGAAGGUGAUCGGCCAGAAGUAGAUCCCCAACAAGAUCCAGCAACUUUCGCGUUUGUCAUUUCAAGAUUAGCCAGAUGAAUUCGCAGGCUGCCAUCGGUAACGACGUGGUUGCCCAGGUGAUCGGCGAGCUGUCCAACGAUGGCGAUGCACCGUAUCACGUAAACCUUCGUGUUCGCCACCCAAUCGCCGAAAAAGUAUUACGCGUAUGAUGAUAUCUUCCUCUAUCAGGACAUUUACUGCGACGACGAGCUCAAUAAGAAUGAUCGUUCUGCAGUCGGUGCAGACGAACGCUGUUGCUUCUAAUUCUAAUGGCGCAGCUCCGGAUGUGGGACAGACGAACAACCUCGUAGCAGCUGUGCUGUACUAUCCCGCGGAAGUUUUGGGUGCUGCUCCGACCAGAAUCAUCCCCAGCUACGGCCAACCCCAACAGGCUGAACAAUCGUAGCAACUAGAGCAACAACAACUAAAUGGAGUUCAUGAUUAUCUGCUGGAAACCGUUCCGACUCAAACGACUCCUCAGCUCUCGGUUCCUCCGCAAAAUCUGAUCACCGUUAUUCAGCAGGUUAUAAACAUCGCUACCGGUAUGCCAACAAAUGUUCCGGUCCUACAUGUCACCUAGCAACAACAAGUGCCCAACCUCAGCAGUUAGCCCCUCAACAAACUGUUCAGCGGUCCCAGCAAAUGCAACAACCCUCCACCAUUACGCAACAGACUGUUUUCCAGCAAUCCAUACAACACCAAUCGCUGAACAGGAACCUAUUCCAAGCUCUUUGUCUGUGACGAACUGAACUGCCUCCAUGAACGAUCCUACUCCAGCGGAAGCUAGCGAUUUUCAUGAACGAAAGGCCUUAGCAGCGACCGCUAUCUAUCCGAAAACGUACGCCAACCUGGUCAAAUCCGGAGGUUUUUGCGAUAGUACCACACAGUUCAGCUUCGCUUUCGUUUCAUCCUAUCAUCACCACCCAAUCCCACCCCUAGUCGCAAGGAUACAGCAACGUGACAGCCGGGCGUCCUUUCAUGAUGUCCCCUUCGCCGUCGUCUUCGCUGCAAAGCUCCAGUUCCAACAACGGCGGAUCCAUCAAUACCGUAUCUUCUACUGGUGGUGGGCUUGGUGGCAAGUACGAUUGUUUCCAGCAGCAAAAAUCAUCACAGCAGCAGUAUGAGUCAGGGACAUAUGCCACAGCGGAUGCAAAACCAACAGCACCGAUCCCGGACAAUGGUGAUCCAACCAGUGGGGGAAGACAGAGCUCACCCAAUCCACAGCAUAGCCGACCAGAUGCUGCUAUCAGAUGCUAUCAGAUGAGCUACAACAGUGACGGCGAAGGUACUUCCGUCGACCAUCGUUUGCCAGCAGCCCUAUAUGGAGGAUCCUUGCCGAUUCGAUGUCAAUGCCUUGUGAUAGUAAAUACACAUAUCUUAAUAAAAAUACUUAGGUGGGUGGGGCGUUUCUGUGGUCUCUAUAAUCCAUCCGAAAAGUCUCCAGGAUUCUGAACAAGACAACCUAUACAUCUAAGGGUUCUACAAUAGUGAUCUGAAUUUGUUGCUAAUAAGUGUCACCAUUUUCUCUCAGAAUGCGACGCAGAAUGCUUGAAACUUAUGGAGUUCCUCCAGUGGUCCUUGAAACAGUCUUCCACUAAUUUUUAUUUGACUCAGAAGGUUCACCACUUCCUCCCAAAUUGCAUGGUGAUGCAAGACAUCAUGCUCCACUCAAAGAAGCUGUGUUCUAGCUAGGUUCACCACGUCCUCCUAAAAUGCAUGGUGAUGCAAGUCAUCAUGCUCCACUUAAAGAAGCUUUGUUCUAAUUUGGUUCACCAAGUCCUCCUAAAAUGC